rnacentral:lncRNA from 1 species
UAACAUUCAUGAAAAGGAUACAUUCGUUCUCCUGUCAUUUCAUUUCAUUUGGUUUCAUUCGUGCAUUCAUUCACCCCGUCCCUGGCUUUUGGCCAGGCUCUACCAACCUACAAGGUAAUACUCGAGUAUACCGAAACGUUCACCCAAGUUCCUAGUCGCCCGACCGAGUCCGCUUCUGGCUCGAGACGACCGGUAACAAGGGGCAAUGGCUAGUUCAGCCCAAAAGGCUUACAUUCAUGCACAAUUAACAUUUCAAUCGCUCAAUCAUUAAAAUUUCACAAUCACUUAGGCUAAGUGCGAUAAAGUACACACUCGCCUCGAAAACUCGUUUAGCAAUCAUU